rnacentral:rRNA from 1 species
CUCGCGGGGACGGAGCUGCGGAGUAGACAAGCGAGCCGAGCUUGAGCUCGUCCCGGUCGCGAUCCCAAGGUCGCGGCGGCGGCCGGGGCGGAGCGGCGGCGGCCCUGGGUGAGGGCGGCGUCGGGUCGAAGGAGGUGCCGGGCAGACGGGGAGACGGGAGACGGCGUCGGCCCUGUUGCCCUUCGACGGCGGCGCGGGGAGACGUGGCCGACGGGUGCCGCGGAGGCAGGGCUUCGACGUCUGGUAGGUCAGGAGGUGAGGAGGUGCCAAUUCUACUGAACACGUAUCUAGCUCGAAGUCAGACUACCUAAGACUGCUGUUCUUCAAACCGUUUCCUGGAUCCCUCGAGUGACCACGACAACUAAAUUAUUCAGUCAUGUUUAACCUCGGCGUGGUACUAAAGAAAACGUUCUCCGGAAACGGUGAACGUUAGAGUCUAUGUGUAAUGGAAGUGUUACAUCACCCCCUGUGACUUUAAGCCUUUCCUCUUCCUUACCUCGAUCUAGUUGAGCAAGUCUUACGUAUGAAUUCCCUAUUCGGAGGAAGAUAAUUCGGGAAACUAUACCUUUGUGACCCCGUUCGUAAAGUCGAAGCUCUUUGACGAGGUCAUCUAAAUGGGAGACGACUUUUUCCAUAUGGAUGGUAAAGCCCGUUUGGCUUUUCACUCAGGUUCCUGUUUCUCUUUUUUGUAUUUUUCGUGUUUCUGUUUCUAUUCCUGUCCCUCGUAUUCUUCGUGUUUGUAGCUGUAUUCCUAGCCAGAUUUCUGUUUCUGUUCCUGUUCCUAUCCUUUUUCCUAUUCGUAGUACUCUUCUUCUCCUUCGUACUCCCCUGCCUCCUAAGCCGUCUGCACGUAUUCGUGUUUUUUUCGUUCCACUACAUGUUAAUAAUAAACGAAGGACCAUGUUGUUUAAAGGAACGUCGUGUAAAACAACCAGACAAUUGUACUGAAUGGAUACCGUCGUAUUCUCAAGGUUUUGGCUACUCUACCCAUUACCUGAAUCAAUCGAUGUCCAAAAGAAGAAUGAAGACAACAGUUAGUUACAGUAUAAGACAAUCUUCCUCCGAGUUUUCUAAAGGCAGUGGUCUGGGCGACGUCUAGUUAACCAUGUACGAAGAACUUGAAAAUAAACGACAACCCAUCUACGUAUUUAACUAAUAAAACAUAACGAAAAGAAUUAAGAAACAGAAAGCCACUUUGUACUUAAGUUUACAAAGUCUAAAUUCGACGUAUCACUCGAACACAAAAAUUCAGUUGGAUCUAAAAUAAAAUAAUAAACCUCGGAUUUACUACUUAUAAAAUUGGAAACCACUUAAUAAAUAAUGAGUAAGUUCUCUUAUUCUAGACGGAAAACGGACUGAAACAUUUAUAAUCAGAGUAAACUAAAAUAGACGUAGAAAAAAAAACACUUGUUAAAAUAGACGUAGACAUGUUAUACACUACAAUCCCUGCCAACGGGACUGUAAUGAAAUACAGGUGAGAGUCAAAAUCUGGACCCGGUUAAAGUAAAGAAGUCAGAGUGAACUGAACUCUUCAUGUCAAUCUAAUAAAGGAAACUAACCGUAGAGAUCACCAUAAUUAUAUAGUCAAUACUACCCGGACGACUGAAAGAUAUGAUACACCGUACUAGACCAAUCCGGACUGAACGUAGUAUUUAAGUAUUACAUCAGUGAUCAGGAUAUGCCAAACGUCAAAUGGUUGUGAAACUGGUAUGGUAUACCACUAAUUAACCUUGUGUUACUUGAUAAUUUUUUCUAGUGAGCGUCAAAUGGAUCACUACAAAGAAAGCUUUAGCAGCAUACGGUAAACGUUGAGAAAUUGCAGACGUGGAACAUAUUAGAAGUGUUAAUAACAGGUCAAGUUUAUUCUAUACCUUUUGUGACGGUCUACUUGUGGUUACCCCUCUUUGUAACCGUUUGUCAUCCGAAAACAAACGUAGACACUAUUAGGUACUGAGAAUUGAGAAUGAAAAUACACCCACUACGUCUAUAGUACUUACCGUCAAAUAAACUUCCACGAAGUCUACUUGCAGAACGGACGACGAUUAAUACAACAAGAACGUCACACCUGGUACACCUUUUACAUUGAACAUUGUUUCCCUGUUAGGUUGACAUAAAACGUUGGAAAACAGGGAGCGACUGAUUACCCAACGGAACAUCCUUGUAAAUCUAUCCUGAAGAUUACUCUAAAAAAGGGGUAUCUAGUCCUUUAGACUCAUCCACAAAAACCACUCUAUUAAAAAUUCUGAUCCUAGUCAAUUGUUAAAGUAAAUCUAACUUGAAAAUUACUCUAAUUAAAUUUUCUAAUCCUCUAGACCCCUAUCCACAGAAAUUGCUCUGUAAAUAGUUUCCGAUCUUCGUCAGGUAAGACAAUUGGUCCGGACACUAUUUGAUCAACUACAUCGUACUAUAUUACCAUUUUUUUUAUAUAACAUACUAUACCUUUACUUCGAAGUAAGGAGCACGACUACUCCUUUGAUCAAUUAAGUGGUGGCGGACCUGAACAAAGGUUCUUGUACGUUUCUACCAGUCCUUAAUCUGUGAUUUGGGACAAAAGAGGAUCUUGACACAUUACAAGACGAAGACGG